AGCAGUUUGGCUUUUAGCUGAUCAUCAGUCAGUAAGCCCAGGUCUACCAUUUCUGCUGCCUCUUCUUUCUUGGCCUUGCUAGAAACUGUUGUGCGAUUUACUGUGGACAAAGUACACGGUGAAGCCGCUUUACCUGAUUAG